CGGCGGACGGGUGAGUAACGCGUGGGGAACCUGCCCUAUACAGGGGGAUAACAGUUAGAAAUGACUGCUAAUACCGCAUAAGCGCACGGAGCCGCAUGGCGCUGAGUGAAAAACGAUAGUGGUAUAGGAGGGACCCGCGUCUGAUUAGGUAGUUGGUGAGGUAACGGCCCACCAAGCCGACGAUCAGUAGCCGACCUGAGAGGGUGACCGGCCACAUUGGGACUGAGACACGGCCCAAACUCCUACGGAAGGCAGCAG
rnacentral:rRNA from 1 species